AGCGGCAGGUGUUGGGGACGCCCAUGUCCGAUGCAUUAGACGGGAAGCAGAUCUCCGCUUUGCUUAGCUUGUGCCCCUGUGAAUGGGGCCAGAUGUGUUCACACAAGCAACACUGUCUCGCCGAAGAGAGACGGCCCCCAGGCAGGUCACUGCACUGGGAAGGAGCCCGAAGCAGUGAGCGCGCUUACCCUGUCGUCGUAAGUCUGUACCUCGCCGCCUCCGCUUCGGCAAGGGCUCCUUUGGACCGCUACCUCUGCCGUCUCCGCGAUGCGCUGGCUCAGGGCAGGAGGAGACGAUCUGAUGUUAGACGGCCUCGGUGCUCCCUGCUGAUACUUAAACAAACGCUAAGCCUGGCAGCUCUGCCGGAAUAUUUAGAGGCCCCUGGCAACCGCCAUCAUCUUCAAGAAAGGUUGCGCUGGAGUAACCGAAGAACCAAGGUCUCGGCGGGGCACACGCCUGAGUCGUGCGCGGUUCUCCAGUUCGCCGCCCUGGGAACGAAGUCCAGUGAUGUUCCGUAAUGGACCCGAGAGAAUGAGUGUGCCCUGGACAAGAAGGGCAGCGCGCUCGAGUUCCCCAAGAGACGGACAUUCUACUCGCACCAAGUAUAAGGUUCCUCCUAGUCCUGCUCCGAGCAGCCAACUCUGCCCACAGUAACUGGUUGGGAGCAAUUCCAUCGACAUUUUCUCACAUUUGACCACUCACCAACAGAAUUUAUAAAAGUACUGAUGAAAGAUAAAUGGAAGAAUUUUCACGAGAGACAAAUCAGCUCACUGUUUCUGCACUGUAACACUUGGAGGAAAUACUGUUUUAAAAAAGAAAUCAGAAGGAGUCUUUGUUUCCUGGAAAGGAAUGUAGUUCAGGAGCAUCCCACAAAUGCUGGGAGUCUGUGAGUGGCUCUCAUCCACUGAUGAUGUGAUCAUGACAGAAAGACCUGGGUCCCCAACUCAUCCUUAAGUCUGGAGUGUCUUCUUUGUGCUACAGAAUCCAGUCACUGGUGUCCCUGUGGCUUUCAGGUGACAACUUGGCACUCCAGGACAGCCGUGGAAGGAUGGGCAAAGCCCCUGAACUUGGCAGCCACCGAUACUCUUGCUCCUCUGUUGAUCUCUGCAUCUCCAAGGCUGGUACAGCAGCUGGACUUGGGAACUUUGGACAUCUAGAAACUUAGUUUGUUACUGUAAAGAUGCACAAUGGCCUGACGUACAGAUCUGCUGGGGAAGCCAUGCCAUUCUCCUCACAUGCUGACAGGGUUCCCACACCCUUCAGCGAAGAGGCCAGCUGUAACCAUCAUGACCAAUGUCCCGGCAACCCUGUGGCCCGGCCUGCAGCUGCUGGCUACCACGAGAAGUCCCAGCGUCAUUCCCUGUGAGCUCCUCUGAGGCCUUCCACAGCCAAAACCUGCCUCUAGUCUGUCUCGCCAACAACAAAAAAAUAAAGCUGAAUUUCAACCCUACUGCCAGAAGCUUCAGUGGCCAGCUGAAAAUGCUGUUCUUCUGGGUGGACAAUUCCCAAAAGAACCUUGGCUACUGUAGGAGUCACUGCAGCAGGACUGUCUCCAUUCCCUGGCAGCCACUCUGCACAAAAACCUGAGGGCUGUGUGCUCUGCAAUGGGGCAGCUCUGGGCACAAGGACCUCUCUACAUCCUGUGGCUCAGACACUGGCAGAAACACAGCUGAAGGUCUAAUGUCAGGGAAGGGCACUGGACAACGCUCCCUUCUGUGGAAGUGUUCUUAUAUCCAUCCACAAAGCCAGACAAUGUCUGACACAUGACCCCUGACACAUGGCUCUGUACAUGAGAAGUGUGAGGUCCUCACAAGUUCAUACCAGGGAAUGUCUCCCCACCUCAUACUGCCCCACCGGAUUCCAUCACAAAGUGAGGGUACCGGUUGUCCAGGUCUGACUUCCCUGGAGAACGUGGCCCAUUGAGGUUCUGAGGCUCACUGGCAGCCGAUGGCAAGCUGCCUUUGUUUUUUAUUAAGCCAGCUGAGACCUGAGAAGUGGGCUGUGUCUUUCCCCUGAGGCCUGGAUACACCACGCACUGCCAUCCUUCUUCAUCUUAUGGAGCACUCCUUUCUGGGAGCCAUGGGAAAGCUGGCUUCCCAGAUACCAGACACAAGUGUCUCUGUUGUUUUGGGAAAGCCAGCCUGGGUCAGACAGGGCGGUAGAGGAGGACACACAGGCUUUGAUUCUGAGCUGUUCCUUCCUCCCCGGCCCUCCUCCCAACCCACCUGUGCAGAAGGUCCCCUCUUCCUUCCUCGGUUGGCUGAGCUGGCACAAAGAACUUCACUGAGCCCAGGGUCAGGGGCAUCAGAUUAGCCACUGAACAAGCUUGAGAGGUGGAGCCUCCGUGAGCCACUUUCUCAGGAUAAUGUCUGCUUGUUCUAGACACAAACACAGGUCUAUUGGAAAGGACCUAUGGGGAUGGCUCAGAAACUAGAGCUAACCCCUCCCAGAGCCCAGGUGGAGUCUCUGAGCACAAAGACAAAACAAAACAAAACCAAAAACAGAACAAAAAAACAAAACCUCAUAUUUGUGUUAUUAAAAUUCCCAUCCCAUUGUUAUCUAGAUUUCUAGACUCGUCUUCUGUGUAAGUAAAAGUAAAAAGUAAAAUGAAUAAAUCACAGAAUCAAUAUUUUUAAGAUAUAGGUUUAAUAAAAUAGGAAUUAAGUUGUUUCUUAACACCAGGAUAAGCCCACCCGUCAGAGUUAUUUCUGCCUUUGAUUUCUUCUCAUUUGCUUUACAUUCUCAAUGCUCAGUUCCUACAAUAUGACUCAGGAGCAUUACUGGAGGUCCAGCCAUCAUAUCUGCAUCCCGGCCAGCAGAAAGCCAGAAAGAAGGAAGGAUUUGCUGGAAGAAUGCUUUCUUCGUUGAACUUAAUCCCAAGGCCACAAGAAAACUGAAAACUGUGCUGGUUAUUUUGGGUGGUUGGCACCCAUAUGAGAAUUAGGGGUUCUGUUACUGAGCAAAGAGAAGGCAGGAGAGCAGCAAACACUGACAACAUCAAGUUCAAAAUCAGCUGAUCUGCUGCGUGCCCGAUUAGGCAACAGGAUCCAGAGAUGUCCACAGAUCGACAGAGAUCACACAGCAAGCCUGUGGCAUUGCAUUCCCAGCUCAUGUUUAGUUUCUAUUCUGUUUCUUGGCUUAAGUAGAAAGCUUCCGUUUCAACGGGAGGGAGUGUGAGGGCUACUCGGCUAAGAGCUACAGGACAGGGGUGGAAUGGUGACCGACUUUACAUGUCCAGAUCUGCCUGGCCCUGAGUCAUGGUAGGUGAGGAACUACUCCCAAGGUCUCCGCUCUGGGCCUGUGGGGUGGGCCUCUCCUGCCAUGUCCCUGUCCCCUGCCACUGUGUGGGUGAGUCUCUGCCUC